AGACUGGGAUAACUUCGGGAAACCGGAGCUAAUACCGGAUAAUAUUUUGAACCGCAUGGUUCAAAAGUGAAAGACGGUCUUGCUGUCACUUAUAGAUGGAUCCGCGCUGCAUUAGCUAGUUGGUAAGGUAACGGCUUACCAAGGCAACGAUGCAUAGCCGACCUGAGAGGGUGAUCGGCCACACUGGAACUGAGACACGGUCCAGACUCCUACGGGAGGCAGCAGUAGGGAAUCUUCCGCAAUGGGCGAAAGCCUGACGGAGCAACGCCGCGUGAGUGAUGAAGGUCUUCGGAUCGUAAAACUCUGUUAUUAGGGAAGAACAUAUGUGUAAGUAACUGUGCACAUCUUGACGGUACCUAAUCAGAAAGCCACGGCUAACUACGUGCCAGCAGCCGCGGUAAUACGUAGGUGGCAAGCGUUAUCCGGAAUUAUUGGGCGUAAAGCGCGCGUAGGCGGUUUUUUAAGUCUGAUGUGAAAGCCCACGGCUCAACCGUGGAGGGUCAUUGGAAACUGGAAAACUUGAGUGCAGAAGAGGAAAGUGGAAUUCCAUGUGUAGCGGUGAAAUGCGCAGAGAUAUGGAGGAACACCAGUGGCGAAGGCGACUUUCUGGUCUGUAACUGACGCUGAUG
rnacentral:rRNA from 1 species